rnacentral:rRNA from 1 species
AGGAAUGUGUCCAGAGGUGGGGGACAACCUUGGGAAACUGAGGCUAAUACCGCAUAUGAGCUGAGGCUCAAAGCAGCGAUGCGCCUUUGGAGUAGCCUGCGUCCGAUUAGCUAGUUGGUGGGGUAAAGGCCUACCAAGGCGACGAUCGGUAGCUGGUCUGAGAGGACGACCAGCCACACUGGGACUGAGACACGGCCCAGACUCCUACGGGAGGCAGCAGUGGGGAAUAUUGGACAAUGGGCGCAAGCCUGAUCCAGCAAUGCCGCGUGUGUGAAGAAGGUCUUCGGAUCGUAAAGCACUUUCGACGGGGACGAUGAUGACGGUACCCGUAGAAGAAGCCCCGGCUAACUUCGUGCCAGCAGCCGCGGUAAUACGAAGGGGGCUAGCGUUACUCGGAAUUACUGGGCGUAAAGGGCGCGUAGGCGGCGCUCCAAGUUAGGCGUGAAAGUCCUGGGCUCAACCUGGGAACUGCGCUUGAUACUGGAGUGCUUGAGGAUGGAAGAGGGUCGUGGAAUUCCCAGU